UGGCUUGGCCAAAAAGUUCGUUCGGAUUUUUCAGCACAAACUUUUUGGCCAACCCA
ensembl:miRNA